CGGUCCCUGGAGCGUCAAAAAGGGCGUCCCGGUGACUAGGUGGAGUCGCCUGCCCUUCCGAAUCUCAGCUGUCUUAUCUGGAACCCCCACGUGGCAGACUCCAGCUUCAUCAAACGGGAUAAUGGGGUCUCAAAAGGGUCUGGUUGGUGGCUUUUUACUCUCAGUAAAGGAUGGUUGGAUGGAUGGAUAGAUGGAUGGAUGGAGCUUGAGCAGCGCGAUGGAUGGAGGGAUGGAGGGACGGAGGGAUGGACGGACCGACGGAUGGAGCUUGAGCAACGCCCCGCCCUUUGUUGAGAUUCCCCAACCCUGCUAGCCUUGUAAACUCCUGAGCCUUCACCGUGGACACUUAAAUACCUAUUAAAGGAAGCGUCUCCACCCGCCGCUCCUGGAGCACGUUUUUCCUCACUCCAAUCGGGAUUGGAGCCCUUGCGCCCUCCGGUGGGCUUUUGUAGGGCAGGCAGGGGCUCCUAGCCUAAGGAGACUCCCAUCUGCCGGACUGGGGUCAAAGGGAUAACUUGGAGUGGUUCUUAAGUGGCACCCUAUAAUCUCCAAGCUACAUCUAAUAAAGCACUCUAAGUAAAAUUA